rnacentral:rRNA from 1 species
GACGAACGCUGGCGGCGUGCUUAACACAUGCACGUCGAACGGAAAGGCCCUGCUUUUGUGGGGUGCUCGAGUGGCGAACGGGUGAGUAACACGUGAGUAACCUGCCCUUGACUUUGGGAUAACUUCAGGAAACUGGGGCUAAUACCGGAUAGGAGCUCCUGCUGCAUGGUGGGGGUUGGAAAGUUUCGGCGGUUGGGGAUGGACUCGCGGCUUAUCAGCUUGUUGGUGGGGUAGUGGCUUACCAAGGCUUUGACGGGUAGCCGGCCUGAGAGGGUGACCGGCCACAUUGGGACUGAGAUACGGCCCAGACUCCUACGGGAGGCAGCAGUGGGGAAUAUUGCACAAUGGGCGGAAGCCUGAUGCAGCAACGCCGCGUGCGGGAUGACGGCCUUCGGGUUGUAAACCGCUUUCGCCUGUGACAAAGCGUGAGUGACGGUAAUGGGUAAAGAAGCACCGGCUAACUACGUG